UAAAAAUACAAAAAUUAGUCAGGUGUGGUGA
rnacentral:piRNA from 1 species